GCCCAGCUAGCUCAGUCGGUAGAGCAUGAGACUCUUAAUCUCAGGGCUGUGGGUUUGAGCCCUAUGCUGGGCG